UACCUGGUUGAUCCUGCCAGUAGUCAAAGGGC
rnacentral:rRNA from 3 species